GAUAAACGCUGGCGGCGUGCCUGAGACAUGCAAGUCGAACGAAGGAUCGGGCUUGCUCGCUCCUUAGUGGCGGACGGCUGAGUAACGCGUAGGUGACCAACCCCGAGUGGGGGAAUAACGGCCCGAAAGGGGGGCAAAAACGCAAGGGGGUGCACCGUUCAUCCGGCGAGGUAAAGCCGCAGGGCGCUUCGGGGGGGGCCUGCGUCCGAUUAGCUCGUUGGUGGGGUAAUGGCUUACCAAGGCGACGACCGGUAGGUGGCCUGAGAGGACGAUCACCCAGACUGGGACUGAGACACGGCCCAGACUCCUACGGGAGGCAGCAGUCGGGAAUUUUGCUCAAUGGGGGAAACCCUGAAGCAGCAACGCCGCGUGAGGGAUGAAGGCCUUCGGGUUGUAAACCUCUUUUGUCAGGGACGAUGAUGACGGUACCUGGCGAAUAAGCCACGGCUAACUACGUG
rnacentral:rRNA from 1 species